rnacentral:lncRNA from 1 species
CCUCAGAAGUCAAAGCUUUCCGGAGAUAGAGUGUUUUUAAACAUAUUUUCCCCACAUAUUCUAUUCUACAUACUAAGGAGAAAUUAAACAUAAAUUUAUUUUGCUUUUAAUUGCUGGUUUAGGAAAGUGAAAAAUCUAAUGUGUCUAAGAACCCAUUUUUCAUGAAACACUAUUUUGGGUCAGCAUUAAUGACAAGCUUCUCACUCAAUCUGCAUUUUGCACAAUAUUUUAUUCAGCUGUAGGUACCCAAUUUCAAUUUUGCUACAAGGAUUCUCUUCAUUUCUCACAUAACUAAUCACAUGGAAUUCUCUUUAAUUUUAUCUCAUAAUCGUACACAUUCAGUGCAAUAAGGGAUAAAUAGUAGACAAAGAAACUUGGGGCAUUCUGGACCCUCUGUCACUUCUGACUACACCAUGAUCCACUAACUGAGUGACCCAGUUCAGCCAGGGAGUAACACUUGCCAGAGUGGGUAGGGGUUUCAAAAUCUAGGCCAUACUUCUUUGCAAUUAUUUUUCUUUAUAAUUUUAUUUGAACUUUUUAGCUUCAGGAUUACUCCCCCAGAAGAAAAGCAACUGGUAUCUUUAUUAUAUAGUUCUAUGGCUUGUCAAUCAUAGGAUGUUUUCCAAUUUUGUUAUGUUUUGUUUGUAAUGGGACAAUGGCAGUGUUUUGUUUUAGGUAUACUAGAAGUUAUAAUCAAGAAAGAAAAUUGAGCUGAUCUAUCCAAUGGGGAUGAGAAGUUAUUUUCUUCCUAGUUUCUUAUUACUCUACUGCUUAAUUCCUGGCAGGAUUGCAUUAAUGUUAAGCACUGGUCCCCAGCACCAAGUGGCAAUUUAUCAUCUAUCUUGGCAGGCUUCCCUGCUUCAUCCUGCACCUGCCUCCUUGAAAGAAAACAAGACAUCAGAUACUUAUUCAAAUAAUGCAGUAGCUGAUCAGCAGAGUAUCUACACAAUGGUACCCAUCUCAGAACAGGAACCUGAAUUGAGGAAUCUCUAUGCCAGGUUUUCAUGAGGCUGAACCCAUACUGGAGAAUUGAGGCAGUCACUUUACUGCACAAUUGUGUAAGACUUGGGAUGGUACAGGUAAGCCAAGAAUUGUUUCCUUAAAGGCAUUCUUAACUUUUACAUAUUUUGUUUACAUUCUCAUUAAAGUGCACCAGCCUGAAUAUCUAAUAACAAGCAGUUCUGAUUCCCUUGAUAAACUCCUGAUUUAUCCCUGGGUUCUAGUCCCUUUUCUUAUCUGAUCUCUGCUCAUGCUUGCUGUUGGGUUUAUUCAUCUGAUCCCUCAGUUUGUC